rnacentral:rRNA from 1 species
UCGCCAGACUCCUACGGGAGGCAGCAGUGGGGAAUAUUGCACAAUGGGGGAAACCCUGAUGCAGCGACGCCGCGUGAGUGAAGAAGUAUUUCGGUCUGUAAAGCUCUAUCAGCAGGGAAGAAAAUGACGGUACCUGAUUAAGAAGCCCCGGCUAACUACGUGCCAGCAGCCGCGGUAAUACGUAGGGGGCAAGCGUUAUCCGGAUUUAUUGGGUUUAAAGGGUGCGCAGGCGGUCUGUUAAGUCAGCGGUCAACGCCGGGGGCCCACCCCCGGCCCGCCGUUGAAACUGGCAGUCUCGAGUUGGAGAGAAGUAUGCGGAAUGCGCGGUGUAGCGGUGAAAUGCAUAGAUAUCGCGCAGAACUCCGAUUGCGAAGGCAGCGUACCGGCUCCACACUGACGCUGAGGCACGAAAGCGUGGGUAUCGAACAGGAUUAGAUACCCGGGUA